UACUGUUCAGGUGUUUGUGUCCCAGCUGUGUUAACAUCUCCAGAGCAUAUACCAUGUUAGCUAGCUAGCAAACUAAAGUGAACUAUCAAGCUAAAUAAGGUAGCUACAGAAGCUAGUGUGAAUUGUCUCGGCUUAGUGGUGCUUACAAUGAGCAGUUCCCGUUUCCAAGCAUGCUUCAGCAUAUUUCAGUCCACAUUGCAAUGAUAAUGCGUUCGUUUUGUGUUAGAUACAUGCCUGUUUGAACAUGUAUUCGUGUUGCAUCUGUGGAGCAUCGUUUCAGUCUCUAAAAGCGUAUGUUCUACAUUGCAAGCUCCAUCGCAAUGAACCACGGUGCAUUUUCAAGUGUGUUGAAAGUGGUUGUAAGCAGGUGUUUUCUGGAUAUGGAGCAUUAAAAUCUCACUUCUAUCGCCAACAUAAUGCCACGUCCUCCGUUGCCCAGGGUAUUGCUUUAGCAUCACUUAAAUGCACAGUUUCACUUUGUGAACGUCAGUGUGAUGGAGUCAAAGAAUUGGUUGCUCACUUAAAGCAGCACUUAGUCGAGGGACGUGCUGUGAGCUGCCCAGUAAGAGGCUGCAAAACUGUGUUCACUGUAAAAUCUUCAUUUACUUCCCACAUGUCUAGAAAACACAGACACUGUUCUGUAAAUAUGAUUUGUGAAUCAUUCACAAAUACAAAUAUUGAAUGUCCUUCUACAAGUGAGCAUAAUGUUGCUACCCACCAAGAAACUGCCAGUGUUUCACAUGCAGAAGAAACUGCCAGUGUUUCACAUGCAGAAGAAACUGCCAGUGUUUCACAUGCAGAAGAAGCAUUUGGGGACGCGCCUAAUUUCAGUGACUUGUUUCUUAGAAAUGUGUGUAUGUUUUACAUAAAAUUACAGGGGCAGCAUCUUAUUCCAGCGUCUACUAUUCAGAACAUUGUUGAAGAGAUUCAGAAUAUACAUGAAUUGGGACAGGCCUAUACUUUGAAUAGAUUACACUUGCUACUGAAAGAUUUGUCAGUAUCAGAUGAAGAUAUUGAAAAAAUCUGUGAUACAGUGAAAGAAUCUGACUUGUUCUCAGCUUGCCACACAGGACCUAUGAGAACAGCAUACUCUAGAGCCCAGAGCUUUAAAAAAAUGUUUAAUUACGUGGAACCUAAGCGCAUGUUUUUAGGCAGAGAUGAGAACAGAACAGAAAGAUUUGCAUAUUAUGUUCCUGUGUUAAACACUUUGAAGAGUAUGCUAGAAUCCAAUUUUUGGCAGGUGCUCAUGUCAGUAGAUUGUAAUGAUGUUUCCGUGCCAGAUGUUCUCUGUGACAGCCAAGAUGGUAAAGUGUUUAAAUCCAACACCUUUUUUCAGGAAAAUCCAACUUGUCUUAAACUGGUCUUAUACCAGGAUGCAUUUGAGGUGGUGAACCCUUUGGGUUCUGCAAAAAAGAAGCACAAAAUAUUGGGUGUGUACUUCUCACUACUAAAUUUGCCCCCCCAUGUUCGAUCAAAUGUUGAUCACAUGCAGCUGGUUUUGCUGUGUAGAGAGAAGGACUUUAAAGAAUUUGGCCAUGCCAACGUUUUUUCCAAGUUGGUGUCUGAUUUGAAAGUCCUGGAGGAGACAGGGAUAACAAUGGCAGAUGAAACCGUUGUUAAGGGAACUCUUUACUGCAUUGCUGGAGACAACUUGGGCUCUCAUUGUGUUGGUGGAUUUACAGAAAAUUUCAGUUCCUCAGAAUAUUUCUGCAGAUACUGUCUAAUUUCUCGAACUGAAUUUCAAGGUAACCCAACUUCAUGUGGACCAGAGCGCACCACUGAAAGUUACAAGUCUGCAGUUGAUCAGUUAGAGGAUGAAAAUGUGCCAGAUGUUCAAGGAAUAAAGUUCAGAUAUGGCAGAAUCAGAAAUACAGAAGAUAAGCAGUGCCAUUACUGCAGUGUUUCCUGAUCUUCCUGAAGCAGUUCUGAAUUCAGUUAUAGACACAUUGAAGGCACUUGGUGCAGAGACCACAGAUGAUCUGAAGUACAUUACAGAAGGAGACUUGCUGCCAGCACUGAAGCCAAUACAAGCCAGAAGACUUGUUGUUUCCUGGGCGCAGAACAAUUCCGCCACUCCAACUCCAACCUCGGUAUGUCCCUCUCCAGUUUCUGCAUGCUCCACUCCACGUUCUGCCUCUCCCUCAACAUUGUCAACCACAUCUACCUCAUCAUCCCCAAGAGGCAGUUCAUCUUUUCAGCCAGGCUGGGCAGACAGUUUUCAAAUACCAUGGCAAAAGCUCCCUGAAGAGUUACUGCAAAGUCUGGAAAGACAGAAAAGACCUAGUCCACGGCUACGACGAGAGAUGAUUAGAAUUGUGGUUUCUGAAAUUAUGAAGGUGUGUAAUAACCCGACCAAACACAACACUACAGAGAUAGGCAAAAGAAUGGUGGCCAAGUAUCCUAAAUCGCUACAAGAUGUAAUUGAGGGUGAUGUAGUUGGAUCUGGAUAUCAUUCACUGGUCAAGCAACUUCAGGCACGAGUUGAGAAUGUCAAACGACCCAACACAUCAAAGAUAAAAAAACGUAAGGCAGUUUCAGAUGGAUCUGACACAGAGGAAAUUCCAGCUGAGCACAAAGCAAGUGUUCAAGACACAUAUGGCUGUGUAAAGUGGGAGCUGAAAUAUUUGCCACUCUCUGAGACUGAGGAUAGUCAGCAAGAAAAAAAAGAAAAGAUGAAGACUAUGUUUGAAGAGAUGAAUUACAGUACAGACGACGUGAAAGAAUUGGUACAAUGCACCUUUUACACACAGCGUAAAGACAUCAACAAGGGGACCAGCAUAAGGCAACUAACCCAAGAGUGGCCCUUUUUGUUCAAGGAAUCUGGAAUGGUAGUACACUUCCAAGAACUUACUGGUGUCAGUCUAAUGGAGUGCUUCCAUGCCAACGUGGACAAGAAGUGUCGACGCCUCUUAAGUUUCUUUAAAACUGUUGAUGCACCAAAACACAAACAGGUUCUGGAUGUUUUUAUCAAGUUUCAGACUGAGAGAGGCCAAUUGGAUGGUUGUCCAGGAGAUGUCAUCGAGAUGGUACUUCUUUUACUGGCUCAUUUUGGUGAAAAAGAGGAUAACCUGUUUCAUUAUGUCGAUAAGACAUGCCUAGCCAGAGAGGUUCAGAUGGAGAAGCUGCCAGCAACACCCUGCAUUAUUGUGUGUGGGUCAUCCUGCUUUACUGCUGGGAUGUUCAUGUUGAGCAUCGACCAAGAGGUUGUCAACGACCACAUCACUUCUUUCGUACCUGCCUUCUGUCUGCUGUUUGGCAGUUACUACUGUUUCAACAUACACUACCCAGUGGAACUACGGUCAACACUUGAGUUCCUUCAAAGGUGUUUCUUCUCGAUAAAUCCCGAAAGAGGCACCAAAGUCCAGUGGAAGAAAAACAAGAAAGCACUUCCUGUCAAUCCCAGAGUCCUCACUCUUAUUGCUGACCUUGCAGACCAUGAGUGGACCUAGACAUUCCUUAUGGACAAUAUGUUAAGGUACAAUGUAUGUUCCAUGUUGUCACUGUCCAAAGAAAAAGAAGUAUGUCCAAAAGAGUAGAUUUACAGGAGAGGCUAAAAAUGUGCCUUAAUUCCAGUGUAGGUUAAUGUAAAGAUUUUUUACCCCCCAGGUGAUUUUGGAACAUAUUGCUCCGACAUUUUUCACAGCAUGUAAAAAUCAACAAAAAAAGAAGCUAUAUGUUUUUUUGUGGACAGUGACUUAAAAUUGUUGUUAAAAUUGUACCAAAAAAGUACUGGAAGUUCUGAGAAUCACUGUAAGUGUACUUUUACUUGGAAAAUGGCUGCUAUAGUUUAUAUAGAUACAAGUUUUAUAUUACACUGUUUUAUGAGGUCAGUGGUUUUGUUUAGCAAACCAGGUGAUUUUAUGGCAAUUUUAUAGUAAUUUCAGGAAUCGAAAACAAGUGAUUAGAGUCACUGAGGUUAUUGUUUUGAGUCUAUGCAAGAUGCACAUUUUCAUUACUGUUAUACUGAGCAGUUUCAAAACAAUUGUUAUUGUUGUUAUUUUGUAAUCAUUUAAUAAAGAGCAGAAUUUUGUUUACGGGAUCAAUAAUUUAUUGAUCAAUAAAAUGUUUAAUACAACUUUGA